UACGUAGGAUGCAAGCGUUGUCCGGAAUUAUUGGGCGUAAAGAGCGCGCAGGCGGUAUGACAAGUCAGAUGUGAAAGAGGCCGGCUUAACCGGCAAGGGUCAUUUGAAACUGUCAGACUAGAGUGCAGCAGAGGAUAGUGGAAUUCCUGGUGUAGUGGUGAAAUGCGUAGAUAUCGGGAGGAACACCAGUGGCGAAGGCGACUAUCUGGGCUGCAACUGACGCUGAGGUGCGAAAGCGUGGGGAGCAAACAGG
rnacentral:rRNA from 1 species